UGUAAAGUAUCUUUGUAACUCCUCCUUCACAAAGACCAUCAAGGACACUAUCUGGAAUGACCUCUCAAAAAGAUACCAGGAUGGCAAUAUCAGACAGUUUUUGGAGGAGGGCACAGCCUUAGAUCCCAGAUUCAAGUCAAAAGUGACAAAUGAAGUGUGGACCAGACUGGAGGAGGAGCUAAUGAAAAGGACCUCAGAACAGACUCCAACUGAGCAGAUAGAACAGGCACUUGAAGAGAGUAACCAAGAUGACAGCUCUGAUGAAGACAGUGCAUCUGCAACAACACUGCACUGAAGAGGCCAAAGCUUUCUGCCCUUGAGGAGCUGUUUGCUGUGGAGGACAUGGCUGUUGAAGCAAGAAUGCAGGCCACUGUCAGCAGCACUACAGAGAGAAUUCAGGCAGAGAUAAAUAAGUACAGACUGCUUCCGUCUACACUGUCCUCAGUAAGUCCAGUAACCUGGUGGUGGGACAUGAAGGAUACUCUGCCAAUGCUUUCAGAAUUGGCAUCAAGGUAUCUUUGCGUGCAAGCAUCAUCCACACCCUCAGAGCGUACAUUUUCCACUGCUGGGGACAUUAUCAGCCAGGAGCGGGCUUGUCUGUCUCCUGAAAAAGCAGACAUGCUAAUUUUUCUGAAGAAGAACUGUUGAGUGAUUUCAGGUGAUCUUAAAAGGUUAGUUCACCAAAAAAUGAAAAUUCUGUCACUAAUUACUCACCCUAAUGUUGUUCCAAACCCAUAAGACCUUUGUUUAUCUUCAGAACACAAAUGCCAAUAAUUUGGAUUUAAUCCAAGAGCUUUCUGAUCCUCCCAUAGAUUUACUGGAUAUGCAGUUUUCAAUGCGCAGAAAGGAACCAAAAACAUAGUCAAAAUAAGUCCAUCUGAUAUGAGUGGUUCAAUCAUAAUUAUAUGAAGCUGCGAGAAUACUUCUGUGUGCAAAGUGAACAAAAAUAACUGUAUUCAACAAUUUAUCUAUGGGAGGAUCAGAAAGCUCUUGGAUUAAAUCCAAAAUAUCUUCAUUUGUAGAUAAUUAAUGAAUUUUAAUUUUUGGGUGAACUAAACCUUUAAGCAGCAGUGAACCUCACAAAUACUUAAAAUUGAUUGACUUAAAAUGGCUAGAACUUUAUUAAAACGGUUUGCACUGAUAUAUUGUGCUAAUCACACUUUGUUCAUUUUGUGCUUUCGUUCCUUUGUUUAUUGGUCUUAGAGAUAAGCCUGCUGUGAAAAGUGUCACAAACAUCCUGAAAAAAUAAA